rnacentral:rRNA from 1 species
UACGGAGGGGGCUAGCGUUGUUCGGAAUUACUGGGCGUAAAGCGCGCGUAGGCGGACCUGCAAGUCAGGGGUGAAAUCCCGGGGCUCAACCUCGGAACUGCCUUUGAUACUGGGUAUCUUGAGUAUGGAAGAGGUAAGUGGAAUUGCGAGUGUAAAGGUGAAAUUCGUAGAUAUUCGCAGGAACACCAGUGGCGAAGGCGGCUUACUGGUCCAUUACUGACGCUGAGGUGCGAAAGCGUGGGGAGCAAACAGG